GACGAACGCUGGCGGCGUGCUUAACACAUGCAAGUCGAACGGUGAAGCGCCUUCCUUUUUGGUGGGUGUGGAUGAGUGGCGAACGGGUGAGUAACACGUGAGUAACCUGCCCCCUUCUUCUGGAUAACCGCAUGAAAGUGUGGCUAAUACGGGAUAUUCUGGGUCUGUCGCAUGAUGGGUCUGGGAAAGAUAUUGUUUCGGUGGGGGAUGGGCUCGCGGCCUAUCAGCUUGUUGGUUGGGUGAUGGCCUACCAAGGCGGUGACGGGUAGCCGGCCUGAGAGGGUGGACGGUCACACUGGGACUGAGACACGGCCCAGACUCCUACGGGAGGCAGCAGUGGGGAAUAUUGCACAAUGGGCGCAAGCCUGAUGCAGCGACGCCGCGUGAGGGAUGGAGGCCUUCGGGUUGUGAACCUCUUUCGCCAGUGAAGCAGGCCUGCCUCGUUUGUGGGUGGGUUGACGGUAGCUGGAGAAGAAGCGCCGGCUAACUACGUG
rnacentral:rRNA from 1 species